UCUUCUUCUUCCUCUAAACCUGUGAAAAACUUUGGAUCAAUCAACAAUGGCGGAUCUCUCUCUUCCUCCCGAUUCCCUCUUCCUCGGCUUCGACAGCUCUACCCAGUACGUCCCCCU
rnacentral:sRNA from 1 species